AAUGAACGCUGGCGGCGUGCUUAACACAUGCAAGUCGAACGAGAAAGCCUGAUUUCGAUUGGGCGAGUAAAGCGGCGCACGGGUGAGUAACGCGUAGAUAACCUACCCCUGGAUUUGGGAUAACAGUGCGAAAGCGCUGCUAAUACCGGAUACGACCUUGAGACGGGAGUUUUGAGGUGAAAGUCGGCCACUCGAAGAAGCUGAUGUUCGGGGAUGGGUCUGCGUCCUAUCAGCUAGUUGGUAGGGUAACGGCCUACCAAGGCGACGACGGGUAGCUGGUCUGAGAGGAUGAUCAGCCACACUGGCACUGGAACACGGGCCAGACUCCUACGGGAGGCAGCAGUGAGGAAUUUUGCGCAAUGGGAGCAAUCCUGACGCAGCAACGCCGCGUGGGCGAAGAAGGCCUUCGGGUCGUAAAGCCCUGUCAGGUGGGAAGAAAGGCUUGGAGCCGAAUAGGCUUUGAGUUUGACGGUACCACCAGAGGAAGCACCGGCUAACUC
rnacentral:rRNA from 1 species